CUAAGUUUGCUACAAUAAAACCAGUAAUUCGUGGAGUGUAAAAGAUGGUAGCUAAUCUCUUAGAUAAGGGGUGAUGCUUAUGGUUAAGAGCUUUGUCCCUGGAAAGGAAUAAAGUUGUCAGUAUAUGAAGCAAUACAACUCAUGCUCGCAUUUGCGACAUUUGUGCUGUUGCUAAUUGACAAAAA
rfam:Enterococcus hirae ATCC 9790, complete genome.